rnacentral:lncRNA from 1 species
AAGGCCUCUGCUCUGGCACGCUCCUUUCCUUCAGAGUCAGACUCAGAAUCGUCUGCUCUGUCGUCUGCAAAAACUCAUUUGCAGCUGUUCUUCCUGAAAAUCCCUUCGCUCGUGCUAUGCAACGGAGACACAAGUUUGCCUUUAAGACUACGGCGUCCCUGCAUGCACAACACUGAACAAACGGAUUAAACGCACUGGG